AAUCCAUGAUGUGGGCAGUCUCUCAACAUCCCUUUGAAUUUACCCCAAGCUUUAUAAAGAGAUUCGGAGUCUAUUUGCUAGAAGCUUGCAAUAAGAUUUUGAAGGU